AGAGCGGAGCCAGGGCACGGGGGCAGCGGNCGGCGGGGCGGAGCCGCCGUCGCCAUGGGGACGGGCUGCGGCCUGUCGGACGGAGGUGGCGAAACGUCUUGUGGUGAAAAAUCUUGUGGUGAAAAUAUGUGGAUAUGGGGAACGUCUGUGAGGCAACACCAGCGCGGGGUGUGCUUGGCUAUCAGGGAACCCGCGCCGUGCUCCUAUGAGGAGACGUCGUGGAGGGUUUGUCAGGCGAGCGAGACAGCGUGCUGCCUUCAUGUUACUGAAAAACAGCUUCACAGCAUCGUAGAAUGAUUUGGGUUGGAAGGGAUCUGAAGGACCAUCCAGUUCCAACCCCCUCCCUUGGGCAGGGACACCUUCCACUAGACCAGGGUGCUCAAAGCCCCAUCCAGCCUGGCCUUGAACACUUCCAGGGAUGGGGCAUCCACAGCUUCUCUGGCCAACCUGUGCCAGUGCCUCACCACCUUCGCAUUGAAGAAUUUCUUCCUGAAGGCAAUGAAGAGAAGGCAAUCCAAAGACUUGAGGAGAAGCUUUGGGCAGACCUUGGGGGCUGCACACAGUCCUUACACCUUGCUGGCUGGCAGAAUUUAUUACACCUGCAUGUAAACACACGGACUUCUUUUUCCACAUCUUACUUCUUCUCAACUUUCCUUCUGUAAGCUAAGAAAUGCCAAUUUAAACACAGACCUUUCCUACUGUAAAUACUGCUGUUUCAUAAUGUAUACAUCUAUCAUGAAGACUGUCUUGCCUUCUGAAGUUCAGUUUGUGUAUAAUUACUUUCAGCAUCAGGUAGAAAUGUAUCUAACAUAUAUUGCUACUCUUUAUCAUGGUGUAAAGCACAAAAAUAAAAUUUAUUUUAGUGAUGACA
rnacentral:lncRNA from 1 species